rnacentral:rRNA from 1 species
AGUGAACGCUGGCGGUAGGCCUAACACAUGCAAGUCGAACGGCAGCACAGUAAGAGCUUGCUCUUACGGGUGGCGAGUGGCGGACGGGUGAGGAAUACAUCGGAAUCUACUUUUUCGUGGGGGAUAACGUAGGGAAACUUACGCUAAUACCGCAUACGACCUACGGGUGAAAGCAGGGGAUCUUUGGACCUUGCGCGAUUGAAUGAGCCGAUGUCGGAUUAGCUAGUUGGCGGGGUAAAGGCCCACCAAGGCGACGACCCGUAGCUGGUCUGAGAGGAUGAUCAGCCACACUGGAACUGAGACACGGUCCAGACUCCUACGGGAGGCAGCAGUGGGGAAUAUUGGACAAAGGGCGCAAGCCUGAUCCAGCCAUACCGCGUGAGUGAAGAAGGCCUUCGGGUUGUAAAACCCUUUUGUUGGGAAAGAAAAGCAGCAGGUUAAUACCCCGCUGUUCUGACGGUACCCAAAGAAUAAGCACCGGCUAACUUCGUG